rnacentral:rRNA from 1 species
GGAAUAUUGGUCAAUGGAGGGAACUCUGAACCAGCCAUGCCGCGUGGAGGAAGAAGGUCCUAUGGGUUGUAAACUCCUUUUGUUCCGGAGUAAUAAGUGCCUUGCGAGGCACGAUGAGAGUACGGGACGAAUAAGCAUCGGCUAACUCCGUGCCAGCAGCCGCGGUAAUACGGAGGAUGCGAGCGUUAUCCGGAUUUAUUGGGUUUAAAGGGUGCGCAGGCGGACUGUUAAGUCAGCGGUGAAAUGUCCCGGCUCAACCGGGGCCCUGCCGUUGAUACUGGCAGACUUGAGCACGGACGGCGCCGGCGGAAUGUGUCAUGUAGCGGUGAAAUGCUUAGAUAUGCCACAGAACACCGAUCGCGAAGGCAGCUGGCGAGGCCGUAGCUGACGCUCAGGCACGAAAGCGUGGGGAUCAAACA